rfam:Nicotiana attenuata strain TT chromosome 2, whole genome shotgun sequence.
GUUCCUUUCGGGGACGUCUGAUAAAAUUGGAACGAUACAGAAAAGAUUAGCAUGGCUCCUACGCAAGAAUGACACGCACAAAUCAAGACUCGUGGUAUAUUUCC